AUUGAACGCUGGCGGAAUGCUUUACACAUGCAAGUCGAACGGCAGCACGAACUUCGGUUUGGUGGCGAGUGGCGAACGGGUGAGUAAUGCAUCGGAACGUGCCCAAUCGUGGGGGAUAACGUAGCGAAAGUUACGCUAAUACCGCAUACGAUCUAAGGAUGAAAGCGGGGGAUCGCAAGACCUCGCGCGAAUGGAGCGGCCGAUGUUAGAUUAGGUAGUUGGUGGGGUAAAGGCUCACCAAGCCGACGAUCUAUAGCUGGUCUGAGAGGAUGAUCAGCCACACUGGGACUGAGACACGGCCCAGACUCCUACGGGAGGCAGCAGUGGGGGAAUUUUGGACAAUGGGCGCAAGCCUGAUCCAGCCAUUCCGCGUGCAGGAUGAAGGCCCUCGGGUUGUAAACUGCUUUUGUACAGAACGAAAAGCUCUGGGUUAAUACCCUGGGGCCAUGACGGUACUGUAAGAAUAAGCACCGGCUAACUACGUGCCAGCAGCCGGUACGG
rnacentral:rRNA from 1 species